AUGCGGACCCUCCAAGUCUUUGGGCCUGUUGGGGAUACUGAGGGGAUCCCUCUUCUGUCAACCUUCAAAAAUUUACGGGUACUCGAUCUGGAAGAUAAUGACAAUUUGAGAAGCCACCAUCUGAAAGGCAUUGGAGGGUUGGUUCUGCUAAGGUACCUGGGGCUUAGAGGGUCUGCUAUCCGUGCAUUACCAGACGAAAUAGGAAAGCUGGAGCACUUGGAGACGCUAGAUGUCAGGCACACUAACCUGAGAAAUCUGCCUGCAUCUAUAGUUAGAUUGGAAAGGUUGGUAUGCCUACUGAUUGAAGAUGCCGUGGAGAUGCUGAGCAAUAUCCUUGUAAUGCAAGGACUACAAGAAGUAUCAACGAUCAGGGUCGACAACAUCGAGUCACUCCAUGAGGUGGUGGAGCUGCUGGCUCGGUCGGAGAGGCUGAGCAUCCUUGGCUUGAGCUUUGACGGACUAAGCCCAUCUCUGGACAGUGCACGUGCAUUCACCGAUUUAUUGAGGGCGGUUGGACAGUCUAAACUUCGGUCCCUAUCUCUGCAUUGUCUUCAUGGUGACUGGAUUGGCCUACUGGACUCGAGACCAUACCAGCUGCGAAGAUUUGAGGUGUCUAUACCUGUUCCAGUCUUGGAAAGUACUGUAUUUAUUAUUCCCUGCUGUAUCACCCACUUGAAUAUUGAAGUGGCUCAGUUGGGAGAGGAAGGUCUCAUUGUGAUCGCGUCCAUGCCCCAGCUUGUCCUUCUCAAGUUAGCAUCUUCAGGACCUGCUGCUGCCAUGAUGGACACGGACACAUCCUUACGAAAACAGAGAAGAAGAGCGAGAAUUCGGAGCGGAGCCUUUCUGUGUCUUAAGGUGUUCUGGUUCACAUGCAAGGCUGGUGGGAAUGAGGUGCAGUUUGAUCCAGGAGCCAUGCCACAGCUGCAGGGGCUGCGGCUCCACUUCAACACUCUAGAGACGCUGUCCCUUUAUGGAGAUUUUGAUUUUGGCAUUGAGCAUCUCUCUAGUCUCAACAGAAUCCAUGUGACCUUCACAUGUGAGGAUACUGCCGCUCCAGAGGUGGUGCAUGCAGAGGCUGCCAUCAAACAGCAAGUAUCUCAGAUCUCCUCCGCCAACACACCAACAAUAGAGUUCAGCAGAGAGAAACCCAGGAUGCUCGAGGAGAAAAAGAAGACGGUGGCCAUGAUCACCCAGAAAAGUAGCUUCAGUAGAUGGUUGAGGGGAAAAAGGAGAGGAUAG
rnacentral:rRNA from 1 species